rnacentral:rRNA from 1 species
CCUACGGGCGGCAGCAGUAGGGAAUCUUCCACAAUGGGCGAAAGCCUGAUGGAGCAACGCCGCGUGGGUGAAGAAGGUCUUCGGAUCGUAAAACCCUGUUGUUAGAGAAGAAAGUGCGUGAGAGUAACUGUUCACGUUUCGACGGUAUCUAACCAGAAAGCCACGGCUAACUACGUGCCCGCAGCCGCGGUAAUACGUAGGUGGCAAGCGUUAUCCGGAUUUAUUGGGCGUAAAGGGAACGCAGGUGGUAUUUUAAGUCUGAUGUGAAAGCCUUCGGCUUAACCGGAGUAGUGCAUUGGAAACUGGGAGACGUGAGUGCAGAAGAGGAGAGUGGAACUCGAUGUGUAGCGGUGAAAUGCGUAGAUAUAUGGAAGAACACCGGUUGCGAAAGCGGCUCUCUGGUCUGUAACUGACGCUGAGGUUCGAAAGCGUGGGUAGCAAACAGGAUUAGAUACCCCAGUAGUC